rnacentral:lncRNA from 12 species
CUGCCACCUCCACGCCGCCGGGACAGCAGCUCCAGAUUUCUAUCACAUUUGUAUUUGCAAAAUAGAUGAGAUAAUGCCGCUCGAGAGAACAGCUUUCCUGUCAUGAUACACCUUUCAGAUCCC